UAGGGAAUCUUCGGCAAUGGACGAAAGUCUGACCGAGCAACGCCGCGUGAGUGAAGAAGGUUUUCGGAUCGUAAAACUCUGUUGGUAGAGAAGAACGUUGGUGAGAGUGGAAAGCUCAUCAAGUGACGGUAACUACCCAGAAAGGGACGGCUAACUACGUACACG
rnacentral:rRNA from 1 species